UGUUUUUAGACUUGUGUAAUUAAAAAUAUAUCUGCCCGGUGUGAAAUUAAUUAACGGCCGCGGUACUCUGACCGUGCGAAGGUAGCGUAAUCAUUUGUUUUUUAAUUGAGGACUUGAAUGAAUGAAUUUAUGAGGAAGAUUCUGUCUCUUUAUAUUUUUUGUAAGUUUCUUUUAAGGUGAAGAAGCCUUUUUUUAGGCAUUAGACGAUAAGACCCUAUUGAGUUUUACUUUAUGUUUAAGUUUUUUUUUAUUUUUAUAUUUUAGAUUUAAAAUAGAGUUUGGUUGGGGCAACCUAGGAGAAAAUUUUAACCUCUUUUUUUGUAUUAAUCCAUUUUUUAUGAAUUAAAAAUAAAUUACCAUAGGGAUAACAGCGUAAUUUUUUUUGAGAGUUCUUAUUAAUAAAAAAGUUUGCGACCUCGAUGUUGGACUAGGAUUUCCUAAUGUUGCAGAAGACUUUAAGGGUGGGUCUGUUCGACCUUUAAAAUCCU
rnacentral:rRNA from 1 species